rfam:Pseudoalteromonas citrea strain KMM216 contig0058, whole genome shotgun sequence.
GGGGCUGAUUAGGAUUCGACGGAAUUCAAGACGCCCAAGGUGCAUGUCGAGGUGCGGUUUGCCUCGUUAAACAGCCGCAACCUAAAGUAAUCGCAAACGACGAUAACUACUCUCUAGCAGCUUAGGCUAGCUAGCGCUCCUUCCAUGUAUUCUUGUGGACUGGAUUUUGGAGUGUCACCCUAACACCUGAUCGCGACGGAAACCCUGGCCGGGGUUGAAGCGUUAAAACUAAGCGGCCUCGCCUUUAUCUAUCGUGUUCGUCCGAGAUUUAAAGGUUAAUUAAAUGACGAUACUAAACAUGUAGUACCGACGGUUGAGGCUUUUCGGACGGGGGUUCAAAUCCCCCCAGCUCCACCA